UGGGGAAUUUUGGACAAUGGGGGAAACCCUGAUCCAGCCAUCCCGCGUGUGCGAUGAAGGCCUUCGGGUUGUAAAGCACUUUUGGCAGGAAAGAAACGUCGCGGGUUAAUACCCCGCGAAACUGACGGUACCUGCAGAAUAAGCACCGGCUAACUACGUGCCAGCAGCCGCGGUAAUACGUAGGGUGCAAGCGUUAAUCGGAAUUACUGGGCGUAAAGCGUGCGCAGGCGGUUCGGAAAGAAAGAUGUGAAAUCCCAGAGCUUAACUUUGGAACUGCAUUUUUAACUACCGGGCUAGAGUGUGUCAGAGGGAGGUGGAAUUCCGCGUGUAGCAGUGAAAUGCGUAGAUAUGCGGAGGAACACCGAUGGCGAAGGCAGCCUCCUGGGAUAACACUGACGCUCAUGCACGAAAAGCGUGGGGAGCAAACAGGAUUAGAUACCCUGGUAGUCCACGCCCUAAACGAUGUCAACUAGCUGUUGGGGCCUUCGGGCCUUGGUAGCGCAGCUAACGCGUGAAGUUGACCGCCUGGGGAGUACGGUCGCAAGAUUAAAAACUC
rnacentral:rRNA from 1 species